rnacentral:rRNA from 1 species
CCGCAUGGGGAUAUUUGCUAAAGAUUCAUCGCUGAUAGAUAGGCAUGCGUUCCAUUAGGCAGUUGGCGGGGUAACGGCCCACCAAACCGACGAUGGAUAGGGGUUCUGAGAGGAAGGUCCCCCACAUUGGUACUGAGACACGGACCAAACUCCUACGGGAGGCAGCAGUGAGGAAUAUUGGUCAAUGGGCGUAAGCCUGAACCAGCCAAGUCGCGUGAGGGAUGAAGGUUCUAUGGAUCGUAAACCUCUUUUAUAAGGGAAUAAAGUGUGGGACGUGUCCUGUUUUGUAUGUACCUUAUGAAUAAGGAUCGGCUAACUCCGUGCCAGCGGCCGCGGUAAUACGGAGGAUCCGAGCGUUAUCCGGAUUUAUUGGGUUUAAAGGGUGCGUAGGCGGCCUUUUAAGUCAGCGGUGAAAGUCUGUGGCUCAACCAUAGAAUUGCCGUUGAAACUGGGAGGCUUGAGUAUGUUUGGGGCAGGCGGAAUGCGUGGUGUAGCGGUGAAAUGCUUAGAUAUCACGCAGAACCCCGAUUGCGAAGGCAGCCUGCCAAGCCAUGACUGACGCUGAUGCACGAAAGCGUGGGGAUCAAACAGGAUUAGAUACCCUGGUAGUCCACGCAGUAAACGAUGAUCACUAGCUGUUUGCGAUACAGUGUAAGC